rnacentral:rRNA from 1 species
UGGGGAAUAUUGGGCAAUGGGCGAAAGCCUGACCCAGCAACGCCGCGUGAGUGAUGAAGGCCUUCGGGUUGUAAAACUCUUUGGACAGGGACGAAGAAAGUGACGGUACCUGUAGAACAAGCCACGGCUAACUACGUGCCAGCAGCCGCGGUAAUACGUAGGUGGCGAGCGUUAUCCGGAAUUAUUGGGCGUAAAGGGUACGUAGGCGGUCUAUUAAGUCAGGUGUGAAAGCGUGAGGCUUAACCUCAUUAAGCACUUGAAACUGAUAGACUUGAGUGAAGGAGAGGAAAGUGGAAUUCCUAGUGUAGCGGUGAAAUGCGUAGAUAUUAGGAGGAAUACCGGUGGCGAAGGCGACUUUCUGGACUUUUACUGACGCUCAGGUACGAAAGCGUGGGGAGCAAACAGG